rnacentral:tRNA from 1 species
GGGCAUGUGGUGUAGUUGGUUAUCACGCUCGCUUAGCAUUGUUUCAUGUUUGCGAGAGGGGUCCGGUUCGAUCCCGGACAUGUCCA